rnacentral:lncRNA from 1 species
ACUAAAUCGAACAAGCAAAGCAUAUAUUCGUAUACUGUACACAAACGAAAAUAAAUCAUAUAGUAACAUGUCGCACUUAAAAAAUGAUGUGAGUGGCUCAAGAAUUGUCCUUUUUGACGUUGAAGUAGAAAGAAAACAAAAAAUGAAAAAACAAAUGGAAAAAGCAUGUAUGGGUUGUGUUUUUUUAUCUACUGCUUCCAUCAUUAUGGUUGAAUUGUGUGUAAUUCCCAGUAUAUUUGGUUUUUUUAUUUCAUCUGGAUUGAUUCUUUUUCCUAUUUUGUAUGGACUAUUUAAUAAUUCAGUUAUAUUACGAGCAGUUUUAGAUUACCAAAACAAAAGCUUAUUGUUAUAUCCUUUUACUUUUUUCGAAAGAGACAAUUUGAAAAAACAGAUUAUAUUAUCAUUGCAUGAUAUAGGAGAAAUAAAAAAAAAAAAUAAUUACUUAAAAAUAUAUUUAAAACGAGGUGAUACAAACAAAGAUGGAAAAAGUAAUUCCUUUUUUUUUACUUCUAUGAUACCGUUGUAUAUGCCUAGGUACACAUUAGGGACUAGUACUGGUGGGAAUGUACAAUCAAAUGAUAACAGUCGCAAUAGUAAUGGUAACAGUAACGUAUGCAUCGAAAACAACAACAAAGAUCGUUUAUAUUCAUACGAUUAUAACAACUUUAAUUUAUCAGUUUUCAAUAAAAACAAAACAACUCAGAAUACAUCGUCAUAUUAUAUUAAAAAAAAUUCAGAGGGGUAUCCACUUAAUUUGAUUGAAGAAAAUAAACUUAUAGCAUUGCUUAAGUUGUAGAAACAAAGGCGUAUUAACACCGUCCCAAAUAUAUACAUAAUGAAUUACUAAAAAAAAAAAAAAAAAAUCGCAUUAAUAUGUACACGUACAUACGCUACGUUUAAAAAAAGGGCAUAAAAAAAGGGCAUAAAAAAAGGGCAUAAAAAAAAGGCAUAAAAAAAAGGCAUAAAAAAAAGGCAUAAAAAAUGGGCAUACAUAAAAUAACACACAUAAAAGAGCAUACCAUAAAGAAAGU